UUUAUGGUUUCCCUAGCCACCAGCUAAUAAUAUGUGCAAAUUUGACCAUCUAAACUACUCCCAAUAACUUCGCUGUUCACAGAAUGAUCUUUUAAGUGGAGUAUAUUACAAGAGAAAACAGCACAGCUCAUCCAUUUAGUACAGUACAACUUAUAAACGUGGAUCAUUCUCUCCCAUUCAUCAAAAUAGCAUAAAUUUCUGAUAAGCCCACUCCAGGCACCUUAUGCAGACGGAAGUAAGACUACUGUCUAGUUUAUCAAAAGGAAACAUGAGUAUAAUACUGGAAGUCAUAUCCUUCUCCCUCAUAAUGACAAGUUGAAGAACAGCAUACCAGCCUUGCUCUCCUCCCUCAUUUGUGUGCUCUCAGAAGCGUAAACAGACCAUCAAAACAGUCUAUGGGAUCUGCAGAGCCAAAAGGACUUAACAGACCAGAGAAAAAUACCUCCAGUGCAAGACUGUCUCACCAAGUGCCUAUGGCAGCAAACCAAAGGCAAAAUUGAGAAGUGAGGAAGGCAGAGAUGCUAGUGGAGAGAGGCCUGGGGCUGUGAGUCAGGGCAAUGGGAGAUACGGACCUACCAGAGGUAGGUCUCUGGAGUUUGAUGACUGAGGCUCUGCUGGAGAACUCAGACAGAUGGGUUCAUCAAGGAUCUGAGAAAUACCUGUGACAGAAAGCGAGACAUAUCCAGCAGGAGGCAGGAAAGCAGAAGGGGAAAUAAAAACACAGUAAAAGGAGAGUUCUAAGAACAACAAAAAUAUAUAACUUGUCCAUUUCCUCAUCUCCUCCUCUCUAGGUCCAGCCACAUCUGCGGUAUCUUUGAAAUGCAGUAUUAGAGAGGGAAAAAGCAACAUUUUGGAGGCACAGGGGACACGCCACUGCUUUCUGAAAUCAAUUAUGGGCUUUUUAGUUCCAAGAGUCUCUCCCCAUUCACAUGGUUCCAGGUCUUACUUA